rnacentral:rRNA from 1 species
GAUGAACGCUGGCGGCGUGCCUAAUACAUGCAAGUCGAGCGAACAGACGAGGAGCUUGCUCCUCUGACGUUAGCGGCGGACGGGUGAGUAACACGUGGAUAACCUACCUAUAAGACUGGGAUAACUUCGGGAAACCGGAGCUAAUACCGGAUAAUAUUUCGAACCGCAUGGUUCAAUAGUGAAAGAUGGCUUUGCUGUCACUUAUAGAUGGACCCGCGCCGCAUUAGCUAGUUGGUAAGGUAACGGCUUACCAAGGCAACGAUGCGUAGCCGACCUGAGAGGGUGAUCGGCCACACUGGAACUGAGACACGGUCCAGACUCCUACGGGAGGCAGCAGUAGGGAAUCUUCCGCAAUGGGCGAAAGCCUGACGGAGCAACGCCGCGUGAGUGAUGAAGGUCUUCGGAUCGUAAAACUCUGUUAUUAGGGAAGAACAAAUGUGUAAGUAACUAUGCACGUCUUGACGGUACCUAAUCAGAAAGCCACGGCUAACUACGUG